UUUUUUUUCUUUUCUUAUUAAAAUCAACUCAGCUUUUGGUUAUGAAGCAAUUUAAACCCCAAGAGAUCAACAGCAAAAAUCUGAAAGAAAAAAAAAAAAACUCAACUUUGAAACCUCUCUACAUAGUCGAAGAAGAUUCUGAAAGAGACGAAGAGGAGAAGUUUCACAAAUCUCCAUUUUGAGGUUCAGCAGGGAGGGAACAUGUCAGUUCUUAUUGUGACGAGUUAACUUGCUUGCUUGCUUAUAUGGUAGGAUCAAAGUGAUACAAUCGGUGCCUCUCCCACACUGUGGGAUUUCACAGCACAGUUGUAUUUCACACAUCGUAAUGAUGUCUGGACUAUCUUUAUGUAAGCACGAAAUCAUUCAUAAAUCUGUCUAUGCUUUCUUUUGUAUAUACCGGUUACAUACACACAAUUUUUGGCCAUAUUUUCAGGUGUUUGGGGGAGAUUGCUGAGGGGAUUGACGCGUGGAAUAGGGCACAGCUGGCGGAAAUGAUACCCCAGAUGCUCUCCCCAGAAGGAAAACCUAAGGAAGAGUUUAAAAAUGACUUGCGACUUGAAUAUGAAUGGAUGAAGAACUUGGUGCUCAGGAACUGGAGGAGUUUAUCCGCGAAAAGGCUGCUCAUUCUAGUAGUGCCGUUGUACUUGAAAGUAUAGGAGAUAUAUAUAUAUAUCCCCGAGGCCGAGGUAAAGCCUCCUGACAAUGUGUUGUUCAUCUGUUUACUGAGUCCUGUGACUGAGGCUAAGGUAGGUGCUUGAUAUAUAAAAUUUGCGUUUGUGAUAUUUUGUUCUUUUUUCUUCUUGUCUCAUGAAUGAUGAGGACCUCCAUACCAUUUUUUUAAGCUUCGGAACUGUCAUAUCGGAGCGAUAUUUCCUUUAUAUAUAUAUAUAUAUAUAUAUAUGUGUGUGUUCGCUUCGAAACCUCAAUUUUCUGCUGUUGUAUUUAUUUAUCUUCAUGUCUGAAUAUGGAAGGGUCAAGGGUUGAUGUAAUCCGGGAUUUCAAAACAGGUGACAAUUUGUGCUAGCGCCUUUAUAGGUGACAAGAAAUCUCUUGUUAGUUGAGAAUUUUUUUUUUUAGUUAUAAAGAUUAAAAACAAGGAUGCAUGUGAACAAGCUUACUUUAAGCCAGAGUGUAUCCAAACUUUGGUCACAGUUCCGGCAGAAAAGACGAAAUAACUGUAGAAAUCCUUGACAAAACAUGGAACGCUGCAAGCUCAACUUUACUUGGCGGCAAAAAUGGUUACAGGGAAUGGAUGUUUCAAAUGUGGCUCAAUGAAUCUUGUUGCUAAGGACUGUGUGGGUGGUAAUCAGUCUUCAAAGUUCAUUGUAAAGGGAGGGCAA